GUUAGGAAUAUUCGUCAAUGGGGGAAACCCUGAACGAGCAAUGCCGCGUGAAGGAUGACGGUCCUAUGGAUUGUAAACUUCUGUUGUUAGGGAAGAACGACCUGUGUAGGAAAUGAAUAGGAAUGACGGUACCUUUCAAGAAAGCUCCGGCUAACUACGUGCCAGCAGCCGCGGUAAUACGUAGGGAGCAAGCGUUAUCCGGAUUUAUUGGGUGUAAAGGGUGCGUAGGCGGUUUGAUAGGUCUGUGGUUUAAGUCCGAAGCUUAACUUCGGUUCGCCAUAGAAACCGUCAAACUUGAGUAUGGUAGAGGCAAGUGGAAUUUCUAGUGUAGCGGUAAAAUGCGUAGAUAUUAGAAGGAACACCAGUGGCGAAGGCGACUUGCUGGGCCAUUACUGACGCUGAGGCACGAAAGCGUGGGGAGCAAAUAGGAUUAGAAACCCUAGUAGUCC
rnacentral:rRNA from 1 species